GUGGGGAAUAUUGGACAAUGGGGGGAACCCUGAUCCAGCCAUGCCGCGUGUGUGAAGAAGGCCUUUUGGUUGUAAAGCACUUUAAGCGAGGAGGAGGCUACAGAGAUUAAUACUCUUGGAUAGUGGACGUUACUCGCAGAAUAAGCACCGGCUAACUCUGUGCCAGCAGCCGCGGUAAUACAGAGGGUGCAAGCGUUAAUCGGAUUUACUGGGCGUAAAGAGCGCGUAGGUGGACAAUUAAGUCAAAUGUGAAAUCCCCGAGCUUAACUUGGGAAUUGCAUUCGAUACUGGUUGGCUAGAGUAUGGGAGAGGAUGGUAGAAUUCCAGGUGUAGCGGUGAAAUGCGUAGAGAUCUGGAGGAAUACCGAUGGCGAAGGCAGCCAUCUGGCCUAAUACUGACACUGAGGUGCGAAAGCAUGGGGAGCAAACAGGAUUAGAAACCCUGGUAGUCC
rnacentral:rRNA from 1 species